GAUGAACGCUGGCGGCGUGCUUAACACAUGCAAGUCGAACGAAGCACUUUAUUUGAUUUCCUUCGGGACUGAUUAUUUUGUGACUGAGUGGCGGACGGGUGAGUAACGCGUGGGUAACCUGCCUUGUACAGGGGGAUAACAGUUGGAAACGGCUGCUAAUACCGCAUAAGCGCACAGCAUCGCAUGAUGCAGUGUGAAAAACUCCGGUGGUAUAAGAUGGACCUGCGUUGGAUUAGCUAGUUGGUGAGGUAACGGCCCACCAAGGCGACGAUCCAUAGCCGACCUGAGAGGGUGACCGGCCACAUUGGGACUGAGACACGGCCCAAACUCCUACGGGAGGCAGCAGUGGGGAAUAUUGCACAAUGGGCGAAAGCCUGAUGCAGCGACGCCGCGUGAGCGAAGAAGUAUUUCGGUAUGUAAAGCUCUAUCAGCAGGGAAGAUAAUGACGGUACCUGACUAAGAAGCACCGGCUAAAUACGUG
rnacentral:rRNA from 1 species